rnacentral:rRNA from 1 species
AUUGAACGCUGGCGGCAUGCUUUACACAUGCAAGUCGAACGGUAACAGGCCGCAAGGUGCUGACGAGUGGCGAACGGGUGAGUAAUGCAUCGGAACGUGCCCAGUCGUGGGGGAUAACGCAGCGAAAGCUGCGCUAAUACCGCAUACGAUCUAUGGAUGAAAGCGGGGGACCGUAAGGCCUCGCGCGAUUGGAGCGGCCGAUGUCAGAUUAGGUAGUUGGUGGGGUAAAGGCCUACCAAGCCAACGAUCUGUAGCUGGUCUGAGAGGACGACCAGCCACACUGGGACUGAGACACGGCCCAGACUCCUACGGGAGGCAGCAGUGGGGAAUUUUGGACAAUGGGCGCAAGCCUGAUCCAGCAAUGCCGCGUGCAGGAAGAAGGCCUUCGGGUUGUAAACUGCUUUUGUACGGAACGAAACGAUCCGGGUUAAUACCCUGGGCUAAUGACGGUACCGUAAGAAUAAGGAUCGGCUAACUACGUGCCAGCCGCCGCAGUAAUAC